rnacentral:rRNA from 1 species
AUUGAACGCUGGCGGCAGGCCUAACACAUGCAAGUCGAACGGAGUGGCGGACGGGUGAGUAAUGUAUCGGAACGUGCCCAGUAGCGGGGGAUAACUACGCGAAAGCGUAGCUAAUACCGCAUACUCUUGGAGCGGCCGAUAUCGGAGUAGCUAGUUGGUGGGGUAACGGCUCACCAAGUCGACGAUCCGUAGCUGGUUUGAGCGGACGACCAGCAACACUGGGACGGAGACACGGCCCAGACUCCUACGGGAGGCAGCAGUGGGGAAUUUUGGACAAGGGGGGAAACCCGGAGCCAGCCAGCCCGCGUGUGCGAUGAAGGCCUUCGGGUUGUAAAGCACUUUUGGCAGGAAAGCGGUACCUGCAGAAUAAGCACCGGCUAACUACGUGCCAGCCGCCGCGGUAAUAC